rnacentral:lncRNA from 1 species
AGUCAUAUCUAGAUGAGGAGCAUUGGAUGAAAGAAAAAUUGAUGGUUCAAAGCAUGCUUUUUCAAAAUUUUUAGCAGACGACUAUAGAUUAAAUAAUUUAAUCUAUUUUGUAUACCCUAGAUCUGAUCUAGAAACUACCAAAUUAGGAUCAUAUGACAUGAAUAAAUACAAUAUUUGAUUUUCUAUAUGUGAUUGAUCAUAUCAAUCAUGCAAGC